GUGAGGAAUUUUGCGCAAUGGCCGCAAGGCUGACGCAGCAACGCCGCGUGGGUGAUGAAGGCCUUCGGGUCGUAAAGCCCUGUCAGGUGGGAAGAAAGGCCUGGAGAGGAAAGGUUUCAGGUUUGACGGUACCACCAGAGGAAGCACCGGCUAACUCCGUGCCAGCAGCCGCGGUAAUACGGAGGGUGCGAGCGUUAUUCGGAAUUACUGGGCGUAAAGCGCGUGUAGGCGGGGGGACAAGUCUGAUGGGAAAGCCCUGGGCUUAACCUGGGAAGCGCAUUGGAAACUGUUUGUCUUGAGUACUGGAGAGGAAGGGGGAAUUCCCGGUGUAGAGGUGAAAUUCGUAGAGAUCGGGAGGAAUACCAGUGGCGUAGGCGCCCUUCUGGACGGUAACUGACGCUGAGACGCGAAAGCGUGGGGAGCAAACAGGAUUAGAUACCCCGGUAGUCC
rnacentral:rRNA from 1 species